CUUCCCCUUCUCCUCCCUCUCCACCCUCUCCUCCUUCCUUCAGCUAUUGGCUUAGUAUCUGCUGUGCAGCAAACACAGAGUAUAUACUGCUGAAUAUAUUAGACAUCCCUUCUGUUUCCUGGAGUUUACAAUAAGAAGAGACAAACGAUCAAUUUCUGCCAGUAAGUUUGCUGGGUCAAAGUUGCUGGCAUCUGAAUGUUGAUUCCUAUGCUCAGAGGGCCAUGGGAGAAGUUGACAACAUAGAACCCCAUAACAAGAGCCUGCCCUGUGUUGACCCCAGGCAGAAGGGAGAAGACGGCACGGAUUGAAGCUGAAAGAUGAAAAAAGGAAGAUGAAAAAAGGAAAGAUGAAAAAAGGAAGUGCCCUUUUGACUCAGUGGCCCUUCUUCCGCACUCCCGAAAACAUCUCGAACAAGUUUUCCCUUCAAGACCAGCUUCACCCAGAGUUGUCACCAUUGAAAGAAGUCCACUCUAUAGCCCCCAAAUGUCCCAGAUUUCAUAAUUAAUGAGAAGAGACUGCCGAGAGAGACAAAGGUGGCGGAGAGGUAGGCAAGACACUUGCCCGUGUGUGCAUGUGAGCAGGGAGAGGGUCAUGGGAGGGAUGAGGUUAAAAUGGGAAGUCAAGAGGGGAGAAGUCAGGACAGGGACUUGGGGGUGUGAGACCGAGCAACCACUGGUCAGACAGGAUUUAGUCCUUUUUGUGUGUGAAAUCGUUCAUUUCAUUUCAAGCAACAGUCACAAUCACCUCUCAAACAACCACCCUUUUAUUCGGCUCAUACUAUUUGCACCGAAAAAGAAAUCUGGAAAGAUCCACCCUGAGCAUAAUGAUUUCCUUCUGGAGGGUGGAACUGGAGGGGCAAGGGUAAACUAUCUUACGUUGUAUAGUUUUGAAAGUAUCUUCUGAAGCAUCCGAACAUUUAUUUUGAAUUUUAUGGUUUCUACAUAUCAAAAUAAAUGUGUGCUGGUUGAAUCAGUGGAAUUUUAGAUGGUGGGUUUUUUCUAAGUCUACCACAGGGACACUUUGUGUUGGAAAGAAGAGGAAUACAGACGCAAAGAAUCGCUUUUGUUGAAAAGAUCAGGAAUAAAAAUAAGUCAGCGAGGUA